UCCCUUCCAGCUCUACUACUCUCGCCAGUUGGAGUAAUCUGAACCUACUUAGGCCCCCAGGACCUUUCACCAGCCAAGUACAACCUCCUUGUCCCACUCACCAGAGUGCCACAUGCCUGAGCACAGAGAACCCUCAGGACUGCGGGAAUGAGACGCCUCGUGCAAAAGAAGAGCGAGACCCACCAGGAUGCAGAGAGGGUUCUUCAACCCCUGGCCCGGCCAGGAUGCCUGUUUCCCCUGUGGCUCAGAGGCCACCCAGCCAGAGAAGGGCAAGGACACGUGUGUCUGCC